rnacentral:rRNA from 1 species
AUUGAACGCUGGCGGCAGGCCUAACACAUGCAAGUCGAGCGAGCGGCGGACGGGUGAGUAAUGUAUGGGGACUGCCCGAUAGAGGGGGAUAACUACUGGAAACCGUAGCUAAUACCGCAUACUAUCGGAUAACCCAUAUGGGAUUAGCUAGUAGGUGAGGUAAUGGGUCACCUAGGCGACGAUCCCUAGCUGGUCUGAGAGGAUGAUCAGCCACACUGGGACUGAGUAACGGCCCAGACUCCUAAGGAGGCAGCGGUGGGGAAUAUGGCGCAAUGGGCGCAAGCCUGAUGCAGCCAUGGCGCGUGUAUGAAUAAGGCCCUAGGGUUGUAAAGUACUUUCAGGCGGGAGGCGUUACCGACAGAAGAAGCGCCGGCUAAAUACGUGCCAGCAGCCGCGGUAAUUC